rnacentral:rRNA from 1 species
GACAGAGGAUGCAAGCGUUAUCCGGAAUGAUUGGGCGUAAAGCGUCUGUAGGUGGCUUUUUAAGUCCGCCGUCAAAUCCCAGGGCUCAACCCUGGACAGGCGGUGGAAACUACCAAGCUGGAGUACGGUAGGGGCAGAGGGAAUUUCCGGUGGAGCGGUGAAAUGCGUAGAUCUUGGAAAGACCACCAAUGGCGAAGGCACUCUACUGGGCCAUGACUGACACUAAGAGACGAAAGCUAGGGGAGCAAAUGGG